CUCUGUCGGAGCAUUCUGAACAAUCACAGUAAGAGAAAUGCAAUGACAGCCAUGCUUCAUCUCCAGCUGUUUCCUGAGAAGAUGACAGACCCUCAUCAGAGCUGACAACAUGUCCAGCCUGCACUACUGCAAGAACUUCUUUGUCUAUGGUAGUGUGGUCAACUGAAGAAGCCGGCUUAGUUGCUCCAGUCAGGUGCUCACACUAAGAAAGGAUGGGUGAAGGUUAUAAAGUGGCUGUGAAUGAGAACUCGGUCUGGGCUCUACCAAGCAGAGAAGCCAUGCAGAGAUGAGAAAGGUGAAAGCCAUGAAACCAUGUUAAGCAGAAAAAUAAAAAUUCAAAACAGAAUGGGUGUAGCAUUAUAUAGUGUUCUGUGGAGUACCAUGAUCCUUCUUCAUGAAACAACUU
rnacentral:lncRNA from 10 species